rnacentral:rRNA from 1 species
UACAGAGGGUGCAAGCGUUGUUCGGAAUUAUUGGGCGUAAAGGGCGCGUAGGCGGUGCGGUAAGUCACCUGUGAAAUCUCCUGGCUCAACUGGGAGCUUGCAGGCGAAACUGCCGUGCUGGAGUGUGGGAGAGGUGAGUGGAAUUCCCGGUGUAGCGGUGAAAUGCGUAGAUAUCCUGAGGAACACCGGUGGCGAAAGCGGCUUCCUGGUCCAGCACCGACGUUCAGGCACGAAAGCGUGGGGAGCAAACAGG